rnacentral:lncRNA from 1 species
AUAAAAAGGAAUAAAGCUUUGUGAUCCUCAGCAUCUGCCUAAAGCCCCAUAGCCUGAUAAAGUUUUCUGUGAGUACUUCCGACUGAACCACUGCAAGGAGCCCCAUCCAUGACCCUAUGAUCGUUGCAAAGUCAUGGUAAUUUCACAAGCAAACAUAACUAGAAGAUAGCAAUAGGCUCCAUCAAAUCCAUCAAGACCACUUGCAUCUCGGCUUCAUUCAGUAGCAAAUGAGGUCAUGUCUAUCUGAGACAGUGCAAAAUUUUAUGGCUGAAGUUGGCUGAAAUUUCAGGCUGAAAUUCUUAUCCCAAACCAAAACAAAGAUUAAUUAUGUAAUAUUUUCAUAGCAUCUGUCUCUUGGUUUGGAUUCACCCAAGAGCAACACUGAGAGCCUGAAACUCCUAGAAAAGAACAAGGCAGGAUGCAUUAGGAGACUGAGACAGUGCAUCGUAUCCUGAGAGAUUUGGUCCCCUGGAAUAAGACUAGGGAGCUAGGAGAAGAGACCAGGCAGCAUUAUAUCCUCGGUAUUG